AUGGCACCACAUCGAGCAAAAGCUUUAGUAUAUGUGCAUAGUAACCUUCGACUUCUAUCAAAGAACACUCCCCAAUAUCAUCAAGAGGAAACUAAAAUGUGGGAUGUUGCUAGAGAUGAGUUUGGAUCUCUAGAUGACACUGGAUUUCUUGAAGUUGCUAAUUUGUCUUUGAAUGAACCAUAUUUAGAGGCUGGUUUUCUCGAUAUGGAGUGA